rnacentral:misc_RNA from 1 species
CAACCCUCAGGCCCUGCCUGGUGUUGGGAGCCUGCGCCUGCAGCUCCCCAAAGACAGCGGCGGUCGUGCCCUCAAGCUGAACGUAGUAACAUACCUCGUUCUGGCCCAAGGCGCGCUCCGGCCGUAAAACCCCCCCUUUUCUAUGG